UCUAACGUGGAAAUCAAAGAGAACGUGACAGAGAAAGGGCUCAGGCCCGUAACGGUGGGAAAGGCAAGGGCAAGGAUGACGGCUUGACCCCAGAACAGCGUCGUGAAAGGGAUGCGAAGGCACUUCAAGAAAAGGCGGCAAAGAAGGCGGCUCAGGCAGGUGGGGGUGGUGAUGCUGGAGGUAAAAGCAACAAAAAAUAGGGAAACUUCCAUUUGAUCAGUCUCUUAAGUUUAGUUCUUGUAAUUUGACCCUUUUGUAGCAUCUUCUCUGAUGUCAUGUCUAAUGGUAAUCAACCAGUACUUUACUCUCCUUUUGAAUAAGAUUGUAAGUGCCAAAUUGCUCCAAUUGAUAUGUGAAAUGUGAUGGUUUUUUCCGUGUUA